CUUUCGGCGGUGACCGUGUAAUGAGUUGGUUGUCAUUGUCAACUCGUUUAACCCUAACUAACUUUUACCCGUCCUUCGUAUUGCACACACGUCCGCUGUUUUCAACAGCUUGCUUUCAGCGGGCGGCGAAUGGACUUUUACAGCGAAAAAAGCAAGUACGCGGUCGAGCGUCGGGAGAUACGGUUACUGUCCGGACGGCUGGGAUGCGGCCGCGUGUUCGGCCCGGCGAUUGAGACGGUUUAUGCGGCUAGCCCUCGGCCCGACUCGUCGACGGUCGACCAACGCUGGAAUGGUGUCACAGCUUACGGACAAACGUACAUCAAACGCCAGUGCAAAGUCUUCCUGGGUACGUGCAUUGGGUGCCGCUACUCAGAUUGAUAUCGCACACAUUU
rnacentral:telomerase_RNA from 1 species